rnacentral:rRNA from 1 species
GAUGAACGCUGGCGGCGUGCCUAAUACAUGCAAGUCGAGCGAACAGAUGAGGAGCUUGCUCCUCUGACGUUAGCGGCGGACGGGUGAGUAACACGUGGAUAACCUACCUAUAAGACUGGGAUAACUUCGGGAAACCGGAGCUAAUACCGGAUAAUAUAUUGAACCGCAUGGUUCAAUAGUGAAAGACGGUUUUGCUGUCACUUAUAGAUGGAUCCGCGCCGCAUUAGCUAGUUGGUAAGGUAACGGCUUACCAAGGCAACGAUGCGUAGCCGACCUGAGAGGGUGAUCGGCCACACUGGAACUGAGACACGGUCCAGACUCCUACGGGAGGCAGCAGUAGGGAAUCUUCCGCAAUGGGCGAAAGCCUGACGGAGCAACGCCGCGUGAGUGAUGAAGGUCUUCGGAUCGUAAAACUCUGUUAUUAGGGAAGAACAAAUGUGUAAGUAACUAUGCACGUCUUGACGGUACCUAAUCGGAAAGCCACGGCUAACUACGUG